rfam:Streptococcus intermedius B196, complete genome.
UGUGCUAUACUUGAAAGGCUGUAUUAAUGUUAUCAAUACAGUCCUUGGCGCUUAGUUUCCUUUCGCCAAGCAUAUUAUACGCGGUUAUAGCCGCCAAAGGAGAAAAAAUG